UGAUGAAGGCCCUAGGGUUGUAAAAUCCUUUCGUUGGGGACGAUAAUGACGGUACCCAAAGAAGAAGCUCCGGCUAACUUCGUGCCAGCAGCCGCGGUAAUACGAAGGGGGCUAGCGUUGUUCGGAUUUACUGGGCGUAAAGCGCGUGUAGGCGGGUCGUUAAGUUGGGGGUGAAAUCCCGGAGCUCAACUCCGGAACUGCCUUCAAAACUGGCGACCUGGACUCAAGUAGAGGCAAGUGGAAUUGCGAGUGUAGAGGUGAAAUUCGUAGAUAUUCGCAGGAACACCAGUGGCGAAGGCGACUUGCUGGACUUGUAGUGACGCUGAGACGCGAAAGCGUGGGGAGCAAACAGG
rnacentral:rRNA from 1 species